rnacentral:rRNA from 1 species
UUUUAACGUAAAUUUUACUGGAGUAGUAAAAGUUACGAUCUUCAAACUUAAAAGAUUUGGCGGUAUUUUAUCUUAUUGGAGGAACCUGCUUAUUAAUUGAUAUUCCACAACUAUAAUUUACUUUUAUUAUGUUACCUGUAUGCCGCCGUCAUGAGCAUAUUUGAAAAUUUAUUUUCUUCUUUUUUUAUUAAAUUUAUGUUAGGUCAAGGUGCAGUAUAUAAAAGAAUAACGUGGGUUACAUUGUGAAAUAUGAAUGGAUUUUUUUCGAAAAAGAUUUAAUGAAAAGGGAUUCAAAAGUAAAAAUAUUAUAGAAAUAAUAUGAAUUCAGAUUCUAAAAUAUGU